GAAAUAUAUCUGUAUCUUUCAGCUUGCAUACCGGAAAAAAAAAGAGAACAAUAUUUUUGAAAGCUCUGAUCCUGUUUAUGCAUCUACAUAUACUGCCAGAGGAGAUAACACUCUUCUGAUAAGAGGCCUGCACUUUGUAUCUCUAUAUUUGAUUAUGUUCUCCAGAGGUAAGUGUUUCUUCUUCACCUAACACAUGCUGCUUACUUGUGGAUGAGCGGAGGACAGCAGUGUAGCAAGGAAGAAAUACACAGAAAACAGGCCCCAGAGAGCUGCAGCCAGCCUUCCAAGGAGGGCUCUGAACAUUUGCUUUACUGAACGCAGCUGAAACCUUUUAUUUGAAGUCAGUUCAAGCGACGAACAUACCUCUGCCAAUGCUGCGGAUCACUGGCCAGCCACUUGCUCUGAGAUGAAGCUACAGUGUACUAGGUAGGGGAAAUACAGAGUCAGAUAAAAGAGCUUAGCCUAUGAUGGAACAUGGAAAUAAAUCGUUUGAAUUCAGACAUAACAGAAUUUUAGGUGUUCAGGUAGAACAUAUUUCUGAAUAAUGAAUUAUACUCUAUUGCCUUUCUAUCUGGGAGACAGGGUCCACUGGCAUGACAGAUGCAAAGGAAGAAGAUAUUCUCACCCAGAAAGGAGCAGAUCUCAGUGUCUAACAGUGCCGUCUCCCCAAGGAAAAGCUUGUUGCAGAAGUUCAGCAUGUAUUUUGUUCCAAAUGGCAUCCACAGCAAACUUUAAGGCUCCAACUACACUGGGACCUUGUCAUCACUCGCUGACAUUACAGCUCCUCACUGAUGAGCACUGGCAUUGCUGGGGAGCAGACAGAAAGCUAUUGGAGGAAGGAGGAUAUUUACACAAUGGGAACCCAUCCCUCCUGUUAUCAUAAGCUGUCAUGGGCCAGUAGGCGAUGUGCACUGGCUACACCACGUACCUCUUGUUCCUUUUUCUUUCUCCUGGCAAUGGACAUUCUGCUGGCCCCUUUCCCAGUCCAAGCUAGUCAACUUGAGACAGCUCCAAGCCACAAAAUUGGUUCCAGUUUGUGAAUCUCCCAGAGCUCGGGAUAGAGUUUUAUUCUCACAUCUAGCUAGAAGGCUGCUUCACAUAACAGAAUCACUUCUUUCAAAAAUCUGAAGUGUAGCUUAUGUUGUUAACAGGUCCACGUAUGAAAUUAUUUCAAUGAUUUUUCUUUGUAUUUUCAAUCUAGUCUGGCCUUCCCAAAGGGAACUGAAAUAUAACUCCAUGGAUAUUUGCCUACCCUGACUUUCAGCUGGGCUUAGUGCUUAAUUUCCUCAGGAGCCUUUCCUCAGGAAACUCCCAGCUGUGUGAUUUCUGAAGGCUCCCUUCAAAGGCAGCUCAUCUCGUCUCUCUGCCCUGCCUCUCUAGGAAAUCUCCCUUCGGCUGUCCGCAGUGACAAGCUCCACUUGUGCACCCGGUUGCUUUAAAAUAAAAAUAAAAAAAAAAUUACGUGCUGCUUCA
rnacentral:lncRNA from 1 species